rnacentral:rRNA from 1 species
CGGUAAUACGGAGGGUGCAAGCGUUGUUCGGAAUUAUUGGGCGUGAAGGACGUGUAGGCGGUUUGGUAAGUCAGAUGUGAAGGCCCUGGGCUUAAUCCAGGAAGUGCAUUCGAAACUACCAGACUUGAGUGUGGGAGAGGAGAAUGGAAUUCCCAGUGUAGAGGUGAAAUUCGUAGAUAUUGGGAGGAACAUCCGUGGCGAAGACGACUCUUUGGACCAAUACUGACGCUGAGACGCGAAGGCGUGGGGAGCAAACAGGAUUAGAUACCCUGGUAGUCCACGCCGUAAACGAUGAGAACUAGGUGUAGCGGGUAUUGACCCCUGCUGUGCCGCAGCUAACGCACUAAGUUCUCCGCCUAGGGAGUACGGCCGCAAGGUUAAA